GUCUGCACCCAGGAUCUGAACCUGUGAACCCCAGGCCACCCAAGCAGAGUGCGUGAACUUAACCACUAUGCCAGCAGGCUGGCCCCUAAAUAAUAUAAAUUUAUCUUACAGUUCUGGAGGUCAGAAAUCUGAAAUGGGUUUCACUGGACUAAAGGUGCCAAGCAGGGCUGCACUCCUGGGACACUGGGGGACAAUCUGUAGCAUUGUCUUUUCCAGCUCCGGGAGGCCGCCCUCCUUCCUUGGCCCCUGGCCCCUUUCCUCCAUCUUUCAAGCCAGCAAAUAUGAGGGCUCCCCACUCCACCAGCUGAAUGAGUUCCAUGCCCCACAGAACCUGUUUCCACUCCAUCAGGAGAUGAAACCAAAUGCCACCUGGUUACUCAGGCCUGAAACUUGAAGGUGUUCUUCAUUCCUCCUGUGUCAUUUAUCACCUGCAGCCAAUGAACUCCUCUGGCUCACACCUCUUAGCCAUCUCUUGCAAAAGUCGAGACUGCCAAAGUUCUCUCCAAAAAGGCCAAACAUGAGGAAUUCACUUCUUGCUCUCCACGCACGGUCACUAUCGAAGUGUAAGCCAUCAUGGUGCCCAGCUGGGCCUCUCGCCAUCUUCAAACUGCUUCCAGUCCGCCCUCCACACUGCCUGGAACGUUUUUGAAAAAAUCAAAUUUAAACAUGUCACUUCCCUCCUUAAAACCUUUCAGUAGCUCCCAGGAACUUUUGGGAUAAUCUACAACCCUUCACACGUCUCCUAAGACCCCGCUGUCACCUGAGUCUGGCCAAUCUUUCCUUUCCUGACUCAACCUCUUUCGUCUCCCUCACCCCGCUUAUUUUCUUGACUAAUAAUCUUCCAACUGGGCCCUGGGUAUCCCUGAGAAUAUGUAAGGAUGUGGUCGUGAGGAGUUUUUAAAAAUUUUUUUAUUUUUAAAAUUUCUUUUUUUAAGGAAGAUUAGCCCUGAGCUAACUACUGCCCGUCCUCUUUUUUUUGCUGAGGAAGCCUGGCCCUGAGCUAACAUCCGUGCCCAUCUUCCUCCACUUUAUAUGUGGGACACCUACCACAGCAUGGCAUGCCAAGUGGUGCCAUGUCCAUACCCGGGAUCUGAACCGGCGAACCCUGGGCUGCCGAGAAGCAGAACGUGCGCAUUUAACCGCUGCGCCACUGGGCAGGCCCCGUGAGGAGUUUUAAGGGACUCGAUUUUCAGAUUCUCAAAUU
rnacentral:lncRNA from 1 species